rnacentral:rRNA from 1 species
AGUCGAACGAAUCCCGGGGGGCAACUCCCGGGGGAAGUGGCGAAAGGGGCAGUAAGGCAUGGGUAACCUGCCCCGGGGACCGGGAUAGCCAUCCUAACGGGUGGGUAAUACCGGGCGACGUGCGUGGGGGGCCUCCCUCGUGCACCAAAGGACCUCCGCCCCGGGAGGGGCUCAUGUGGUAUUAGCUUGUUGGUGAGGUAACGGCUCACCAAGGCCAAGAUGCCUAGCAGGUGUGAGAGCACGACCUGCGCCACUGGCACUGGGACACUGGCCAGACUCCUACGGGAGGCUGCAGUCGAGGAUCUUCGGCAAUGGGCGCAAGCCUGACCGAGCGACGCCGCGUGCGCGAUGAAGGCCUUCGGGUUGUAAAGCGCUGUCGGGGGGGAGGAAAGCCUCGCAAGAGGUCUGACCUAUCCCCGGAGGAAGCACGGGCUAAGUUCGUGCCAGCAGCCGCGGUAAGACGAACCGUGCGAACGUUGUUCGGAAUCACUGGGCUUAAAGGGCGCGUAGGCGGGCUGCCAAGUCAGAGGUGAAAUCUUUCGGCUCAACCGGAAAAGGGCCCCUGAUACUGGCGGUCUGGAGUGGGGUAGGGGCACGUGGAACUUCCGGUGGAGCGGUGAAAUGCGUAGAUAUCGGAAGGAACGCCGGUGGCGAAAGCGGCGUGCUGGACCCUUUCUGACGCUGAGGCGCGAAAGCCAGGGGAGCGAACGGGAUUAGAUACCCCGGUAGUCCUGGCCCUAAACGAUGGGUACUAGGUAGUGGACUUGACAUGGGUUCACUGCCGAAGCCAAAGUGUUAA